GUAGUUCGAUGUUCUGCCGUGGCUUUAUGUACGGUACAGGGGGUGCCCUAUGGGCAGAUGACCUGAGACAUCUGUCUGUCUCCCGACAUACAUUGGUGAAACAUUUUAAGAAUAUCUGUAGCAUACAAAAUGUACUGAAAUGCACUUGAUUUGGUCUGUAGUAUACUGUUAAAUACAGUAACUGCAUGGAUCUAACGGUGGCCAUGCUGACUGCUAGUGGGAGCUAUUACAUGUAUGAAGGAUUUACCAUGUUACUGGGACUCUGCUCUGUUACACUGCUGGGCAGUACAGAACACAACUUCUAUAUGUUUUAGUGCAAUGGGUGCUCAAUGAAAACCUUCUUAUACCUUGUGGGGAUUUGGAAAAGUGAUCCUCUACUAUUCAGCCUUUGGUAUUAUCCGUAGGGCAGACUCUGGGAAGAUAAUAACGGGGGUCAUGUAACUAAAGCUUAUUCAUUAUGGAAGGAAAGCUAUUUAAUAAUCAAAUUCUUCACUGUUUUUAACACCUUUGCUUGCUGUUAGAGAAUGGAAACCUUCUUGUUUACCUCCAGGGGCCAUCCUGAUCAUGUUCUGCUGAUACAGCUACGUGGUUCGUUACAGUAGAUACCCUACAAGCUUUGUAUCUGCGUCAUUUGGACAGGAUCAGGAUAGGCUUUCAACAUCUGGAUCUAAAUUAAGUUGUUCCUGUUCUCUGAGAGAAAGCAGAGGUCUUAAAAAUGGUGAGGAACAGCAAUAUAAAGUACUGUGUAUUAGGAAGUUGUGAUGAUUACUACCAUAGCUAAAGGGAGCAUAGAACUGCUUUUGUGGCAUUUUCUAAGUGUCAUCUAUCCACAACACAGGUGCUAAUGUCUGAUUGCUGGGGCCACACCAUUUGGACCUCACACUAUUAUGUGAUUCAUAAGCUUCUAGAGUUAUUAUUUCAUGUAGAAUUCAAUUAAUUCCUUACACAGGUCAGUAGGUCCUCUUACACCCUAAUACACCCUGGUAGUGUUCCAUUAGAGAAGCACAAAUAAAGGUUAAAAAUCUCCAUCAAUGAAAGUUCCUGAAGUGUACUUUAACACAUUAUAGAAGACCAGAAGAGCCCCUUGAAAGGCUGGGCUCCACUUGAAAGACAUUGAGGGAGAUUUCUCAACAGUGGUGUAAAGGGAAACUGACUGAGUUGCUCAUAGCAACUAAUCAGAUUCCACCUUUCAUUUUUCAGCAUUCUUUUGGAAAA